rnacentral:lncRNA from 1 species
GGUCAUCGCAUUCAAAAGCUCUCAAAGAGGUUCUUUGGCCCUUUCAAGAUUAUCCGCCAAAUUGGAGAUGUUGCUUUGGAAUUGGAGUUACCUGCCUCUAACAAAAUUCAUCCGGUUUUCCAUGUGUCAAAGCUCAAGCUCAGUUACACCACUCCCUCCAACAUUUCUGCAUUACCUGUGGACACUGUGCACGCACAGGCACAGCCAGUGCUUCAACCUCUCGCUGUGCUUGACUGGAAGCGAGAUUCAGAAACUGCUUCACCAUUGGUUCUCAUUCAAUGGGAAGGGCUGUUUCCAGAGGAUGCCACUUGGGAACCUUACGACGACAUGCUUCGCGUGUAUCCAGACUUUCACCUUGAGGACAAGGUGCAUUUUGAAGGGGAAAGGAAUGUUAUGGGCCUAGAUGAGCCAAGGGAAGAAGAGUACAAAGGCCCAAUUCCUCACUUAAAGGCCAAG